rnacentral:rRNA from 1 species
GGCGAACGCUGGCGGCGCGCUUAACACAUGCAAGUCGAACGGAAAGGCCUGCUUUCCCUUGUGGAUUGCGGGUACUCGAGUGGCGAACGGGUGAGUAACACGUGAGUGAUCUGCCCCCAACUUGGGUAUAAGCCUGGGAAACUGGGUCUAAUUCCCGAUAGGACUGCAGGGUGGUGCCUGUGGUGGAAAACGAUUUUCUAGUGGUUGGGGAUGAGCUCGCGGCCUAUCAGCUUGUUGGUGGGGUAAUGGCCUACCAAGGCGGCGACGGGUAGCCGGCCUGAGAGGGUGGACGGCCACAUUGGGACUGAGAUACGGCCCAGACUCCUACGGGAGGCAGCAGUGGGGAGUAUUGCACAAUGGGCGGAAGCCUGAUGCAGCGACGCCGCGUGGGGGAUGACGGCCUUCGGGUUGUAAACUCCUUUCGACCGCGAGGAAGCCACCUGGUUGGAAGGGUGGUGACGGUAGUGGUAGAAGAAGCACCGGCUAACUACGUG